CAGCCGUAAACUAUGCUCGCUAGGUGUCAGGCAUGGCGCGACCGUGUCUGGUGCCGCAGGGAAGCCGUGAAGCGAGCCACCUGGGAAGUACGGCCGCAAGGCUGAAACUUAAAGGAAUUGGCGGGGGAGCACAACAACGGGUGGAGCCUGCGGUUUAAUUGGACUCAACGCCGGACAACUCACCGGGGACGACGGCAAUAUGUAGGCCAGGCUGAAGACCUUGCCUGAAUCGCUGAGAGGAGGUGCAUGGCGUGUGACUGU
rnacentral:rRNA from 1 species